rnacentral:rRNA from 1 species
GAGUUUGAUCAUGGCUCAGAUUGAACGCUGGCGGCAGGCCUAACACAUGCAAGUCGAGCGGAAACGAGUUAACUGAACCUUCGGGGGACGUUAACGGCGUCGAGCGGCGGACGGGUGAGUAAUGCCUAGGAAAUUGCCCUGAUGUGGGGGAUAACCAUUGGAAACGAUGGCUAAUACCGCAUGAUGCCUACGGGCCAAAGAGGGGGACCUUCGGGCCUCUCGCGUCAGGAUAUGCCUAGGUGGGAUUAGCUAGUUGGUGAGGUAAGGGCUCACCAAGGCGACGAUCCCUAGCUGGUCUGAGAGGAUGAUCAGCCACACUGGAACUGAGACACGGUCCAGACUCCUACGGGAGGCAGCAGUGGGGAAUAUUGCACAAUGGGCGCAAGCCUGAUGCAGCCAUGCCGCGUGUGUGAAGAAGGCCUUCGGGUUGUAAAGCACUUUCAGUCGUGAGGAAGGUAGUGUAGUUAAUAGCUGCAUUAUUUGACGUUAGCGACAGAAGAAGCACCGGCUAACUCCGUGCCAGCAGCCGCGGUAAUACGGAGGGUGCGAGCGUUAAUGGGAAUUACUGGGCGUAAAGCGCAUGCAGGUGGUUUGUUAAGUCAGAUGUGAAAGCCCGGGGCUCAACCUCGGAAUAGCAUUUGAAACUGGCAGACUAGAGUACUGUAGAGGGGGGUAGAAUUUCAGGUGUAGCGGUGAAAUGCGUAGAGAUCUGAAGGAAUACCGGUGGCGAAGGCGGCCCCCUGGACAGAUACUGACACUCAGAUGCGAAAGCGUGGGGAGCAAACAGGAUUAGAUACCCUGGUAGUCCACGCCGUAAACGAUGUCUACUUGGAGGUUGUGGCCUUGAGCCGUGGCUUUCGGAGCUAACGCGUUAAGUAGACCGCCUGGGGAGUACGGUCGCAAGAUUAAAACUCAAAUGAAUUGACGGGGGCCCGCACAAGCGGUGGAGCAUGUGGUUUAAUUCGAUGCAACGCGAAGAACCUUACCUACUCUUGACAUCCAGAGAACUUUCCAGAGAUGGAUUGGUGCCUUCGGGAACUCUGAGACAGGUGCUGCAUGGCUGUCGUCAGCUCGUGUUGUGAAAUGUUGGGUUAAGUCCCGCAACGAGCGCAACCCUUAUCCUUGUUUGCCAGCGAGUAAUGUCGGGAACUCCAGGGAGACUGCCGGUGAUAAACCGGAGGAAGGUGGGGACGACGUCAAGUCAUCAUGGCCCUUACGAGUAGGGCUACACACGUGCUACAAUGGCGCAUACAGAGGGCGGCCAACUUGCGAAAGUGAGCGAAUCCCAAAAAGUGCGUCGUAGUCCGGAUUGGAGUCUGCAACUCGACUCCAUGAAGUCGGAAUCGCUAGUAAUCGUGGAUCAGAAUGCCACGGUGAAUACGUUCCCGGGCCUUGUACACACCGCCCGUCACACCAUGGGAGUGGGCUGCAAAAGAAGUAGGUAG